GUGAAUAGAGCUCCCUGUCUUCCAGGAGCUCACGAAUUCUACAGGAGUGCCCCAACCAAAGAGAUCAGCAGAGAGCCUGCACAUGC
rnacentral:miRNA from 1 species